rnacentral:misc_RNA from 1 species
UUUUUCGGUCGCACAGUAGUAGCUGAGAAGGGUAUUAAACAAAUACUUGCUAAAUAUACUUCUUGAAUGUCUUCUCAAAGAAAAACAAUGUAAACAAAAGGGCAAAAACAUUAAUAUAACAGAAGCAUGCAUGACAAGGAGAUAUAGCUAAUAUUACAUUAAGCAGACUUUCAAAAUUAAGAUGCUGAUGUGUUGGUAUUUAAUAUAGGCCAGCAUUUAAUGAAGGAAAACUGUCUAAAAAAGAUCCAAGAGGCUGCAGCUUCAAGUACACCAAAAUUAUCCAUAUGGCUGAAACAUUCAGUCUAGGAACUCAUACACUUACCAUUAAUAACCAUAAUUAUAUGUAUGGUUGCAUUACCUUGGAGUUUUGGCUGUGAAACUG